rnacentral:rRNA from 1 species
UACAGAGGGUGCGAGCGUUAAUCGGAAUUACUGGGCGUAAAGCGCACGUAGGUGGCUUGGCAAGUCGGUUGUGAAAUCCCCGGGCUUAACCUGGGAACUGCAUCCGAGACUGCUUUGCUAGAGUAUGGGAGAGGGAAGUGGAAUUUCCGGUGUAGCGGUGAAAUGCGUAGAUAUAGGAAGGAAUACCAGUGGCGAAGGCGGCCUCCUGGAUCGAUACUGACGCUGAGGCGCGAAAGCGUGGGGAGCAAACAGG